rnacentral:rRNA from 1 species
AUUGAACGCUGGCGGCAUGCCUAAUACAUGCAAGUCGAGCGAGCGGCGGACGGGCGUGUAAUGUCGGAGAAACUGCUUUAUGGAGGGGGUUAACUACGGGAACAGGUAGCAAAUACCGCAUACCAUCAGUUGGGCUCAGUUGGGAUUAGCUAGUAGGUGUGGUAAUGGCUCACCUAGGCCACGACCCCUAGCUGGUCUGAGAGGGUGACCAGCCACACUGGAACUGAGACACGGUCCAGACUCCUACGGGAGGCAGCAGUAGGGAAUAUUGGACAAUGGGCGAAAGCCUGAUGCAGCAAGGCCGCGUGUGUGAAGAAGGUCUUCGGGUUGUAAAGCACUGUAAGCGGGGAGGCGGUAUCCGCAGAAGAAGCCACGGCUAACUACGUGCCAGCAGCCGCGGUAAUAC